AAUAAACAUCAAUGACCUUAACCGGGUAAAGACUGAUAUCAAGAAGCUGAAGCCUGUAAAGCAGGGGAUCCAAGACUUUCAGCCCAUGCCCGGAGAAAUAUCAGAGACCAGCGUUGAGAACAGUCCCAAAAUCAAGGCCAGAGGAGACGUGCUUCAUCAGCGAUGGACUCCUGCAGAAUAACAAAGGUAACAGAGACCUCUGUGAUGUGAAUACUGUGUUAAAGAGUGAGUCAUCUACUGCACCCUGUGAUCUUCUGAGACCUCCUCCUCUGGUACUCCACCUCAUCCACCGUCCACACGGCACCUUUUACGUUCUCC